rnacentral:tRNA from 1 species
GGGUGCUGAAUCAGCGGUAGAGCAGGGCGCGGAGGCCCUUUGUUUAUAAGGGCCGGAGCGCUAAGUCUGCCUUCACACGGCAGGGGUCACAGGUUCAAUCCCUGUACCACCCACCA